rnacentral:lncRNA from 13 species
CGGUUCAUACACGUACCCCUUUGCGUAACGUUAGCGUUAACGAUUUCGCGAAUAAAGUUCUCUUUGCACAUACGAGUUUUCGAGAGUAACUGCAAUAAGAUAACGUUCGGACGAGACAGCGAAAUUGCUCGGAGACGCGCGCGUUGUUCUGAUAAUUAGCACGCUGUUGUAAUUGAUAUCUCGUGAGUGUUCGUGAGUGUUGUGGAUCGACCUGAGAUCUGGGAGGAGGCGGAGGCUCAGGAGGAGCAUCGUGCAACGGCGGAACAACCCUGUGGAUUACGACGUUGAAAAUUCCGCUGCUGCGCAUCGUGUGUCGGUUUUGGCCGCCUUGACACCACUGUGAGUCAUUCCGA